GCAGGCAGGAACAAAAUGGCAGAAAUCAGCCUCUGAUCCGGAGGUCUGAAUACAUAAGGGAGGGAAGGAAUUGGAUUGGAUAGAUUGGAGGAAGAUGCUUCUAAUAUCAAUGAAAGACCCUAUGUAGGUCCUUGCUCCAUCCACACAGCAGUAAGGCAGCAAAAAUCUAGCCCAGGAUUCAUGAAGGGAUUCCUUCUUUGAGUAUAAGGCAGAGAGAGAGGGAAAUGUGGAAAAGUGGUAGAGGUUCUUUAGGACAGUGAAGGGUAAAGAGUCCUGAAUUCCAUUCUUGAGUUUAGUACCAAAUGAAAGCACAUGAAAGGGAAUACAAAAAGAAAAAGAAACGGAGUCAGAUCUCAAUGGAUCAGUGAUACUUUAUUAAGCAAUAGAGGGGCACAUUUUUGAGAGGGAAAAGACUAUGGGCUCUAACAAGGUCUGGGUUUCAUAGUGUUUAGCUGGACCAGAUCAUGGGAGAAGUUUGGGUGGCAGGCUCAUUUAGGAUGGGGCAUGAGGGCAGGUAGAGGAAGUUCGUUGGGGCCUCUGGCCCAUAGCCUUCACAGAGCCAAUCUGUGUCACAUGAUUUCAGAUAAAUCAUCAUCAUUUUAAUAAGUCAAUUCAGAGAAGAGGAAAUAGGGUGGGGCCAGCCGCUCAGCUCUGGUUUUGAGUUCCCAGUCUGAGACAGAAAAUAUUUUGCAACUGAGCAGAUUACCUUCUUCACCAAGGCUUACAAAGAAGAUGGAACUCGGAUCCUGGAUAUCCUUAUCUGUGAACAUGUUCGGUGCGUCUGUGACUCUGACGUGUGGUGGGACCAUGGCAUGUCUCAUCGGGGCUGGGCUGGUGGUGGCUCUCGUUUUUGGCUUCACCUAUUGUGCCAUAAAGCAGGCGAAGACAAAGGAGCUGUUUAAAAUAAAUUGAUAGAAAUCCUGUCCAGGCACCGGUGGAAGGAUAGCACCCCAUCUCUGGAAUGUGGUGUAGUGACGUGCUGUUUUACACUUUUCAAAUUUUAAGAGUGAACAAUGUAAACUUUAAAUGAUUAAACAUGAUUGAGCUCCAACUGUGUGCCUGACUGUCUUCUAGAAGCAGGUUCUGAAUUCCACAAUUCUGGAUCCUUUGAGACUCAGCUUCAAACCCACCACCAUGGCACCCUUCUGCCAUCCACCAGUCCUCACCUGGCCCUGCACUAAAGCUGCCUGGCCUGGGCCAUCAGAUCAGGUAGACUGUCU
rnacentral:lncRNA from 1 species